CUCUUUCUAACUGGAAAUCAUUUAGUUCGACUAAAGGGGAUGAUGGAGGGUUUCUCUUGAAACAUGAUCGUACUUCUUUACACUUAGCUGGUUUCAAUUGUAAUCGAUUUUCUUGAGACCAUGCAUCGAUAUAGUCAACAGCUUGCUGAAGAGAGCUUUGCUUGGAGGGUGGUAUCACUUCAGAGAUUGUGCAAUCAUCGGCGAAUUUCCACAUAGGUAAGGAUUCCUGAGGUAGCUUAAGAUCAUUGAUUAGUACUAAAAACAACCAGGGACCAAGACGAGUUCC